GGACUACACGGGUUUCUAAUCCUGUUUGAUCCCCACGCUGUCGCGCCUGAGCGUCAGUAAUGAGCCAGUGAGCCGCCUUCGCCACCGGUGUUCUUCCCAAUAUCUACGAAUUUCACCUCUACACUGGGAAUUCCACUCACCUCUCUCAUACUCAAGCUAAACAGUUUCAAUGGCAGUUCCGGAGUUAAGCUCCGGGCUUUCACCACUGACUUGGAUAGCCGCCUGCGCGCGCUUUACGCCCAGUAAUUCCGAACAACGCUAGCCCCCUUCGUAUUACCGCGGCGGCUGGCAC
rnacentral:rRNA from 1 species